rnacentral:rRNA from 1 species
AGAGUUUGAUCAUGGCUCAGAACGAACGUUGGCGGCGUGGAUUAGGCAUGCAAGUCGGGCGAGGACGGUCCCGCAAGGGGCCGAGCCGAGCGGCGUAAGGGGCAGUAAGGCGUGGGUACGUACCCCCCGGUCGGGGAUAGCCGGUCGAAAGGCCUGGUCAUACCCGAUGACCCGGAGACGGCAAAGGCUUGCCGCCGGGGGAGCGGCCCACGUGCUAUUAGCUGGACGGCGGGGUAACGGCCCACCGUGGCUGAGAUGGCUAGCGGGUGUGAGAGCACGACCCGCGCCACUGGCACUGAGACACUGGCCAGACACCUACGGGUGGCUGCAGUCGAGGAUCUUCGGCAAUGGGCGCAAGCCUGACCGAGCGACGCCGCGUGCGGGAUGACGGAUUUCGGUCUGUAAACCUCUUUUGAUAGGGAAGAACUUUGACGGUACCUAUCGAAUCAGCCCCGGCUAACUACGUGCCAGCAGCCGCGGUAAUAC